UAUUUGCCUUUGUUUGCGAGCGUUUCGCGCGUGUUCUCGUCCACAAGAAGAUUGAAGGUAAAAGCGUUAAAUUUACGUAAGGAAGCUUCGUUCCUCGUUUGUGCGGUGUGCAAAGAUUGCGUGCAAUUCCCGCUGUUCUCGGAGUGCCGAUGAAGUACGAGUCGUUCAAGGUAUCAACGAAAUGUGCGGGCGCUCGAAUGACUCCAUGGCUGACGCCCGUGGCCACCUGCUACACGCCAGUGCGAAAGGAACUAAAGCACUGUGGGGGCUGCAGGGUGGCUUUGCCAGUAGGAAGGGCGGAAAUUCCUGAAGAUGUAUUCAUCCAUGCUGCAUCAGCUGCUUGGUGUUUUCAUGGCAUCUCUGCACAUGUGCUGGGUUGAUCUUAAGCAGAAAACCAGAAGCGGCAGUGGUCUCCAGUAGAGACCUAAGGACCCCAAGCUCUCUGUGACACAAACAGGAAGGCUACUGUGGUGCAUUGAAAACCUGCGCCAGUAGUGCAUACCAGUGCACUAUGCUGCUGUUUCAUCAAGGAGAAAGGAGGUGACCACCCCCAGAGGAACUUCAUGCUCUACAGUAUGCCUACGGAGAACACCUCAAGGCGCAUCCAAGCAACGUCCUGGAGGCACAGCGCCACCAGAAUCUCGUUCGCCAUUUGGGGGACCUGCUUAAAGUCCUUAAGAAAUGAUUCCAGUGUGAGGCUUUCAAAACGGCA